UAUCAGAAGGGGAGUCCUAAGACCCAGGUACU
rnacentral:piRNA from 1 species